AGAAGUGAAGUCGCGGCGCUGCGCAGCCUCCUCGGUCACUCUCUUCGGCGCCGCGAUGGAAGCAUCUACGGUAUUGAUGGAAUGGAUGUGUAAGCGCAGUACUAUAGACUUCACGUGAUUUGCAAAGGAUCCCAUUUACUUCAUGAUGAAAUGGCUAUGGAAGUUUCGUAUAUGCUUCACAUGAUGCAUACAAUAGGUGACUUCAUUGUCUGUUUAGUGGAUUCCAUGGAUUCCAAAUGGAGGGGGAUGGGGGAGGAGGAACCAAAGAUGCAAAUGACCAACUACUGGCAGUUGGUACUACGGUACCGAUUGAGGCAUGGGAGCAUCAAUUUCCGCCUAUUGACUGGCAUGUGAACACGGCUUUGUGCUAAGGAUGCACUUUGUGAAAAGGUGGAUCAUUACUACAAAGUUCAUUCCUUUGUGUUGCAGUGCAGUUGACAAAUGGAAUAUGGAUUUGACUUGAAAUGUGGAUGAUAUUGGAAAGUGCGCACCUUCCUGAUUUCAGGAACCACCUUGAAUAAGUGGAUCAUUACUACAAGUUCUUUCCUCCUUUGGGUUGCAGUGCAAUUGACAGAAAAAUGGAAUAUGGAUUUGACUUGAAAUGUGGAUGGUAUCGGCGUGCACAUCAUUACUUGGACUAUCUGGUUCUGGGAGCAGGAUUGUCUGAAAUAAAUGAAAUUAAGUAA
rnacentral:lncRNA from 1 species